AGCUUUGCGAGUAUACUGGAACAAAGUUUGGGGAGCAAAUGUUUCUCCCAGAGUGCGAAUUUUUUUGUUUGGAGACUACUCAUAGGCAUUCUGCUCUCCAGAUGGGAAAGAAUAAAUCCACCAAUACCGAAACUGAGGGAUCUGGAAAACCAAGUGAAGAGACUAGUGAAGAGAUAGAGGAUAAUGAACAUGAUGGAGAUGGUAUGGGAAGACAAGAAAUGGAGGUGUUAAGAAAUGCAAUUGCACAAAGUCUAAUGAAUGCAUCUACUUAGCAUUUAGUUGCAAAUUUCAAGUGACUUUAAUAUAUUUUGUGUAAUGGUUCCCAUUGAAUUAUGGUCGGGAAAUUAAUCUAAAAAUUCUACAUGA